AAAAAAACUUUAUUGUAGAUAUAUGCAACCUCUAGGCUCAUUUUGACCCCUACCUCAUCUUUUUAAUGCCCAUCAUCUUAAUGUUGUAUCUGGUUUGCCUUUGAUGCCUAGAAGAAAAAAAAAUCUUUGUAUUUACUAAAGAAAACAGUUACUCCCUGAGUAAGAUCAAGUGUUUGAUCUGCGACCUUAUAAGGAAGUUCUCAAAGAAUGGUGAUCUUGGUAUUGAAGAAAGCUGAAUUUCAUCUCAUUAGAAGCCCUCAAGGACGUUUUGUUCUGAAGACUCUCGUAUUCAGCUCUGGGAAAUAUUAUUUCUCUGAUUAUCCCUUCAACUUUUGAAGAUUACCAGAUUUCUCAACAGCAAUACUGUGGUCUGGAAUAAAAGGGGGCACUUCCCUCAGACUUUGGAGAAGACAUUAUUUUGAACUAGAAUUCUGUCUACAGCCAUACUCUCAAUGAAGUAAGAUGGCAGAAUAAAGAUGAUUACACUAGCAA
rnacentral:sRNA from 1 species